CCGUCGCCCUCAAGAAGCCAAACAGGCUCUCAGAGUCUCUCAGGCCCUGCCCCGGACGUGGCCCCGCCCCAGAGCAUGCUGGGCAGGACCUCCCCAUAGAUCCCUCCCAUUGCCAAUGUAUUCCUCCAGAGGAUUCUGAGCUCUGCUUGGUGUUUCCAGCUGUGAUGAGACUCUCUCCUGGCUUUGAUGAAGCAAGCUGCCAUGUUGGAGAGGCCUACAUGACAAGGAACUGAAGGUUGCCUCCGGCCAACUCCAGCCAACAGCCAUCCAGGAAUUGAGGCUCUCAGUCCAACAGGCCUUGAGGAACUGCAUCCAGCCAGCAGCUAUAGAAGUGAGCAAAGAAGUGUGUAUUUCCCCAGUCAAGCCUUCAGCUGAGACCCCAGCCCCAGCUGCCACCUUAAUUGCAGCCUUGUGAGAGACCUUGGAGCAGAGAACCCAGAUUCUUCGGUGGGACCCACCCAGUUCCUGGACCCUGCCCUGGCCACUCCAGUGUCCACAAUCGCAAAACCCACCCAUACGCACACCUGCACUGACUGCUCACCUGUGAGAUACUCAGG